AAACCAUGGACUAGGAUCGUACAACCAUCAAAUAUAAAAUCUUGACUGAGCAUCGCUAUGGUUCGCUUUGCCUUCAAAGAGAUCUCUCCAAAUUUUUCUCCACGCUCAAUCAAGCGAAGUUUAGCAGCAUCAAAGUCCUCAUAUUCUAAAGCAGAAGUUCUGGUCACGUAUCGCAUGAACAAAUCACAGCCAGCUGACAAAGAUAUAGAUGUGGUAUCCCAU
rnacentral:misc_RNA from 1 species